AUAAUAUGAGUCACUAAAAUUAUCGAAAUAUCCUUGGUAGUCACCCCAGCCUUCACUUAUAUAUAGUAGUAAUUAUGAUAAGCUAGUGAAUGGAGAAGAUUUAGUAUCAUAUCCAUUUUGAAAACUUAAUCAAGGUCAUACCCAUUUAAUUUCCUUUUUAUUUAUUUUCUAGGAUUAGAGUAAGGAAAAAGCAAAAAGUGGGGUAGAAUUGUGGGUCAUAAGACCCCUUUAACAUUUUUAAAAGUUGAGGAUAAAAUAUAAGUUUGUAAAAAUACAAUGAGAUCCCUUUUUAUAUUUAUUAAAUAUUCAAUCCUUUUUCAAAUGCAUUUAAUAAAUGCAACAACUUUUCUCUUUCUCCUCAAAUAUUUUUCUCUCAAUUUUCUUUGAACUUAUUGAGAAGUCAAAUGUUUUUUUUUUCCCUUCCCAAGUCGAAAUAUUUCAUCUUCUCUUGCUCGGGUAAAUUUAAUCUUCUUUCCUGAUUAGUUUUAGAUUCAUUUUAGUAUUUUUUUUUGUUUCAUUUUUGUAUAGUGAUUCUUGGGGUUUUACAAAAAUUGCAUCGUUCUUGAUUAAAUUAGUGUAAAAUCUGUGAGUUUUUAGUUCUUGUUCUUGAUUUUGCAUUUUUAAUUGUGUUUUUUUUAAAUAAUGGCUAAUUUUUUUUUGAUUUUUUAUGUUUAUAUUGCCUUUCGAUUUUGAUUUUUUUUACUGAAUUAGAUCGAUUUUAAUGGUGUCCUUGUUGCUAUCAAUUGCAUUGUUGAUUUCUGAAAAAAUUGCUACUUAUUUUGGAAAGUGAAUAAAAAUUUAUUGGCAAGAUUAAGAAAUACGAGGACGGUAGUGCAUAUGAGAGGGAUAACAUUGAGAAUAGUGAAGGAGAGAGUGAAUGCAAAAGCUAAGAAGAAAGUGAAAGUAAUAGUAGUGAAGAUGAGAACAGGAGUGAUAUUAGAGAUAGAGAGGAUGAUGAUCCCCUAUCCUUGUCAAUUUGUGCAAGAGAUAUCUCCGUUGAAUUAUACGAUCUAGCUACAUGGAUUGCUGAGUUAGGUUCUUUUCAGUGAAGAUUUCUAUAAGAGGAAGGAUGACAGUUUAUAAGGAGUUUAGAAAGAUUUUAGCUGAACAAAAGCUAUAUGUUGACUUUAAGUAAAUCUGUUUUAGACACUUAAGACAUUUGCUAAAACAUUCUAAAUUCAAUGGGCAGAUGAUCCAUUACAUGUUGCUGCGACAUGUCAAAAAGAAUAAAAAGUUACAUGAAAAUUUGAUUCUAUGUGAACGAUAAGACAACUUAUUCUGGCUUAAAGGAAUUUUCUCUGAUUACGAAGUUGAAUUAUUCAGCAUACCCCGAUGAAUCAGAAAUGAACAAAAUCCUUUAAAAUAGUAAAGGUUUUCAUUUUAAGAUGAAGAAGAACAAGAACAUUACUACUGCAAGGCUAAUUAGCUUGAUCAAAGGUAAUAAGUUAAGUAAGAAGCAAAAGUUGAAGUGCUCUUUAAUUUGGUUCAUGCACACGAUGUUGCUGGUAAAGGACCCGUCAAAGAAGGUGAAUUCAGACUAUAUCAAAAUAACGACUGAUUUAGAUUUCUUCGAGAGUUAUUCUUGGGAGAAACAGUCGAUUAGACUAAAGUUGAGAUAUUUGAAAAAGAAAAUUGAUUUAAGUAAACAGAAAAAAGGGUUUGUCAAGAAGAAUCACGUAGUAUACACUUUAUAUGGCUUUCUUUGGACAUUUCUUGUACUUAUUAUCUAUCAUCUUGUCAAUUUAUUAUAGACUUUGAUCUAUUUAUGCAAUAACACAUAAACCUUGUAGAUUUAUUUAUACUUCUAUUGAUUAUAGGUUUGGAUAUAUGAGGCUCUUCUCCAUCUUGAAAAGUAUGCCGAUAAGUCACUGGUUUCUCCUUUGCUCAUUUUUCGUCUACUUAAAUGACACACGUCAAAGAGAGAUAAAAUAAUGAAAUGCGAGCCAUUUAAGUACAAGGAAAAUAACACAAAGUUAAACUUUUUCUUUUUACAACAACAACAACAUUUUUAAACUAGUGAGUGUUUUGCAAUUUAUAUUUAUUUUUUAGAUUUUGCAACCAUAUCUUAUUUCUACUGUCCGUGAGAUGAAGCAGACCUACAUGAAAACAUUUAAGUCAUACACAAAUAAAGUUAGGGACCUGUUCAUUGAUGUAUUGAAGGGGAGUGUGACUAUCUUCACUUUAUCAAUAGAGGUCGUAGAAGAAGAUAAAGAUUUAAGUGGUCACAAUUAUGUCCCAGGUACAAUACGUUUUUGUGAUCAUGAUUUUUUUGGUGGAUAAAAAAUCACACUAAACACUUCUAAUGAUAAGAUAUGUGUGAGCGUGUUACUUUGCUCAAGAAAAUUGUGUUGGAUAUUGUUUCUUAUGUCAGAUAUGGGAGUUUAAGGAGAAUUGAGAAGAACAAGAAGAACCAAUAAGAUGAAGUCAUAAUAAUUGAUCUUGCAGCAGCAAAUGAAAAAUAGAAGAAAAGAAGAAAGAAGAAGAAAUGAAAGAGGAUAGGGUAACAAAUGAAGAAGACAAGUAAGAAGAA